AUGGUCGUAUAUCCGUGAGGAGAAUGGGGAGGGGAGCCAAUAGAUUUGCGCUGGUGCGUGAGGGCCAACCGUCAUCACGGCGAGCAAGCUAACAUCCUUUUGGCUUCAUGCGGUUCGGCAUCAUGGUGGCGCAGAUGAAGGCCUGUUUUGACUUCAGGCCGGCCACAACCACGGCAUCUUCUCGUACGCUGUUUCUCCUCCGCUGCGCCCAAGGCUAUAAGGUCGGCGGCGCCACGAGCUCCCGUCCCGAGGAAGCCGCAGGAGGACGAGCUCGACGCAGACAAGGUCGCUGCGGUCAUCAGCGCCUCCUCCUCCGCGGGAGGCCAUCGGUGAGAGGAAGGAUGCACCGGGCCCCUCCUCGUCAAGUGCAUAUGCCACCUCUGCUCUUGCUUCCUUCCGGUGUGAGGUGAGGCUCAAUUUCUAUUUCUGCUGGUUACUAAAUGUUUAUCAUUGUUGGAUGUUAGCACAAAUUCAGGGAAUAUCUGCUGUCAAAAGCUUUUAACUUUUGCUCAUCGAACUGUGAUCAUAUUAUUUUCUUGGAUGGUCGACUGGAGUUGUUGAAUAUUACUCGUGCAGCCGGCCGCAGUGGCGCGUCCGGGGAGAGCUACGUUGAAUUAGGUUGAGUAGAAGUGUAUGUUGCAUUUAAACUUUCUCUCAAGACCGUGUAGUCUUUCUCGAUUACACGCGAGGUUAGGUGGAUUAGGACUAUUCCACAUAAUCUGUUCGUUCAUGAAACUAAUUGUGUUCUUUCGUGAGAGACAUAAUUUGAAGCCUAAUUCCAGGUCUCGUCCCUUUUCUUCUCUCUAUCCUUGCUACGACAACGACUGAGUUGUCAGGCUCGAGCGAUCUUUCAACAUAUUCCUCAUGGUUCUGAAACUCGAUGCGUUGUACCGUGAUUGUGACUGUAGAAGUGCAUGCUCUAACCUAUGCAACCAAAAGACUGAUCUGAUGGAAGAGACUAGGCAGCACAUUAUAUGUCAACACUCCCCCUCACGUGUGGCUCACCCAGGCCUAAACGUGGACCGAAAGUGGGCUGCAAUUUAAUUGCGCCAGCCGGGUCUUGAACUCAAGACCUCUUGCUCCGAUACCAUGUAGAAGUGCAUGCUCUAGCCAAUGCAACCAAAAGACCGAUCUAAUGGAAGAGACUAGGCAGCACAUUAUAUGUCAACAGUGACUAUGCCAGGUUCUUCAUGCUCGAGACAAUCACCAAAGUGUCGUAUUUCGGUGAGGGUCUUGUCUUACUCACUGAAGUUUGUUUACUGAUUGAUUAUUAAAUAGCCCUUAACCUAUUUUUGUUUACUGGUUGAUUGUUAAAUAGCCCUUCACCUAUUUUGAACAACAUGUAGAAGCAGCAGGAUUUUCCUUCGUAUCCUUUAUUAUAGAUCACAUAUUCUGCUUAGUUUCAGCUUGAACUUCUAAUGAAAUCGCUGUUCUUCUCACAGCUAGCAUUUCAGACGGGGAGAGUUGACAAAACUUGUCGUGCAUAAAGGUUGUUGCCAUGUUACUUUGGGACACAUUUUCUCAUCCUCCGUGCACAUUCAUACAACCAUCUGUGCAAGCUGUUCCACAAGAACCCUUGCCAAUCCCUGAUUUUGGUCACCUAAAAGGCAAAAUUACAGGCAAUAUUUGAUCUUCGAAAUUAUUACCAGAGACUAAUGCCACUUUCGGUAAAUCGUCUUUCGAAACCGACUCAAGAGAGAUAUAUAUUGAGCAUAAGUGAAAAAAUAUGCCAUAGGUUGCUACAACAUUACUACUUGGUGGUGCCCUUGGUCCUUUUGAAACUCUAUUGCUUGUUUUCUGUGCAAAGCCUAUCUUAGACUUCAGGGAUGUGAAAGCGGUAAAUGUUCCUUGGUGCCUUUUUUUUGCUUUUGAUAGUGUGUGAACUACUUUAUUUUAGGACAAACGUUAGCUAUUAACAUCAGCAUUUCCCAUGUAUCUCGAAGCUAAUUGAUUACUGUUCAUCAAAUCUGAUAAUUGAGGGCUCUUCUGUUAUUAAGUUGCUUCCCUUUUUGCCAAUAGUUGUAAGUUAACUUAUUACUUGUUGGAUAUGGGUAUGCUAUCUUAGAUUUUGAGAUUGACCAAAUACUGAAUUAAAAUGGUGGCUAGAGGAAAACAAUUGCUCCUGAUACUUCAUAUUUGUAUGAUAUUAUUUCAUUUUUCUGAUCAUUUUGUAUUAUUUUCUGUGUACAGAUCUCAGCUCCUACAUACUGAUGAAUAACUUAGCACGCACAUCUUGCAGGUUGAGGGCCACAUAUGCAAAACAGCGGGUCUUCCUUCACAACCUAUGUAGCUAGAUCCAAUUUAUUAUAGGUAAUAUCUACAUUUCACCCAUACAUAGGUCCAAAACAUAUAUCUUUUUAGAAAGCAUGGCUUGUGUUUGUAUGAUGCAUAGGUUACUGGAUUGUUUAAGUAGUUAUACUUUUUCUGUGCUCCAGCCAUGUCACUUGGGAUCUCUGCUCUCGUGUUUGGUUUAUUAGAAGACUCAUGCGAUCUGCGAGUGAUUUUACAAGUACUGAUACUCAGAUUUAUGUAGUGAAUAAGUUAGAGUUAAUGACCUAGCACAACCUAGCUUAAAAUCACUUCAUAUUUUUGUUUUACAACCAUAUGUUUUCUUGUUUGUGUAUCAAUGGUUGUGCUUCCAGUAGGCAAGUCUGAAGAUCAAAAAUGAAAAUCUUCAUUUAUGUUCCUUCCAGUUUUAGGUAAACAAUUAGCCUAAUAACUUCAUUCUACUUUCUUUUCCAUAUGUAGUUUCUAUGUUUGCCUCUAAUGCAGAAAUACCACACUGAUCAUUUAAUAUCUUUUCAAUUAGCUAAAUUGAAGCAUCCAGAGAUUUAACGGCUUACUAAAAUCCACUUUCUGGAGGCGUUAGAUUGGUCUAAACUAAAUAUCAGUUGGACUAUUCAGGUAUAUUUAUCUUCUGUAUAUCGUUCAACUUUUCUGGUCAUCUUAAACUUUUGGAAUAUUUUGGAUCAACUAGCUGAUGCUUGCAACUCAAUGUUUACCGAGAUCGCAAGGUCUUAGUUUUAAUCCUUGAUAAUAAAAUUUCAAGAAUUAUAAUUUGAGAAUGCUUGUUAAUGCUUUCAACAAAUGCAAGAUUUUAACUGUUGCAAGGCACUGGAUUUUGCUGUUGGUGAAUACUAAAAGAAGAAUCUAUUAAGAAGGUUGGCCCAUCCUAUUUCUUCACACUAAUUAGAUCUUCUAUGUUGUUAGUUGUAAGUCACAUCCACUAUAUGAAUUAUAACUUGCAUAGUCAUAAGUUUUCUUACUGAUGUUACAUUUGUUCCAUUACAAUGAGCUAACUCGUCAUAUCACAUACUCCCUCCGUCCCAUAAUAUAAAAGUGUUUUUGAUACUACACUAGUGUAAAAAAUACUCUUAUAUUAUGGGAUGGAGGGAGUAUCUCUUAUAUAAUGUUUUCACCACUUUUUGUUGUGGCACAAUGCUUAAUACAGAGUCCUUAAAUACAUAUAAUGUUGUCACCACUUUUUGUUGUGGCACAAUGCUUAAUACAAUUUCUUCAAUGAUAUAAGAUGAUCCACUAUGCUCUGAGUAUAUUCAUCAUGUGAAGCAAGGGAAUAUAAUAUGGAAUAUGCUAUGAAAAUAAGUAGUAAAGAUAUGCUUGAUAGAAUAUUAGCGUCGUCAUCUGGUCGACGACCAUUUCUCAUCGACAAGUUCCAUUUAGACCAUUUCUCAUUGACAAGUUUCAUUUAGACCAUUUAUCAUCGACAAAUUCCAUUUAAAUAAACUACUGAGAAGUGAUCUUGUAAUCUUACUAAUGAUAUGCUUCUUUAUUCUAACAAAGUAGUAUGAUGACGAAGCUCAGAAGAAACCUGAAAGAGAGAUGGACUUCAAAAGAAGUUUUGAGGAAAGCAUGAAAAAAGCAGUGGAUAAAUGUCAAAGAAGAAACUUGUGCUUGGAUAAUUCUGAUGAUGGCAUUUCAGAUGAUCAGCUACCAUGUUCGCCAACUUCGGCAAAAUAACCUCAUGCAUGGUGUUUCCAUGUUUUGCAAUCAUAACUUUCUUCUUUGCUUCAUGAUGUAUGUAGUGUGAUGAAAAUGGUGUUUGCAAGGGUCUUGGUUUAGAUAGAUAAUUACAAUGUCUGUAAAACUCGUUUGUUUGUUCUUUUUAUCUGAAUGGCAUGGAAAUAUGGAAACA